rnacentral:tRNA from 1 species
GGAGCGGUGGCCGAGCGGUUUAAGGCGCACGCCUGGAAAGCGUGUUGGGGUGUAAGCCCCUCGAGGGUUCGAAUCCCUCCCGCUCCG